UGGGGAAUUUUCCGCAAUGGGCGAAAGCCUGACGGAGCAACGCCGCGUGCGGGAGGACGGCCUGUGGGUUGUAAACCGCUUUUCUCAAGGAAGAUAAUGACGGUACUUGAGGAAUCAGCAUCGGCUAACUCCGUGCCAGCAGCCGCGGUAAUACGGAGGAUGCAAGCGUUAUCCGGAAUUAUUGGGCGUAAAGCGUCCGUAGGCGGUUGGGCAAGUCUGCUGUAAAAGGUCGGAGCUUAACUCCGAGUGUGCAGUGGAAACUGUUUGACUAGAGUGCGGUAGGGGUUGAGGGAAUUCCCAGUGUAGCGGUGAAAUGCGUAGAUAGUGGGAAGAACACCAGUGGCGAAGGCGCUCAACUGGGCCGCAACUGACGCUGAGGGACGAAAGCUAGGGGAGCGAAAGGGAUUAGAUACCCCUGUAGUCC
rnacentral:rRNA from 1 species